GAUCCUGGCUCAGGAUGAACGCUAGCGACAGGCUUAACACAUGCAAGUCGAGGGGCAGCGAGGGAGUGGCAACACUUCCGUCGGCGACCGGCGCACGGGUGAGUAACGCGUAUGCAACCUGCCCUUCACAGGGGGAGUAACCGGGAGAAAUUCCGACUAAUACCGCAUACGUCCUCCGGGGGCGAUCCCCGGGGGACGUGAAAGAAUUAUCGGUGAGGAUGGGCGAUGCGUGAUAUUAGGUAGUUGGCGGGGCGAACGG
rnacentral:rRNA from 1 species